UUUUGACGAGAGCUGCUAGUCAAACAUGUCUUGUGUCUUCUUCGCUCCAAUAACAGCUCCGCAGGGAGAUGUCCUUCCCCAAGCCCCGCCCUCCAAUCACAGCAGACUCUUACAGAAGCCCCGCCCACCCCUCCAGUUCUGGUUUCCCUCUUGUCAUCGUUAAUUUCUGGAGCCACCUGAUGUCUCCGCCUGCCCCCUCCUCCCUGUGUGUGGGCGUUUUCAAGAACGAUUAAUAUUUAAUAGUUAUUUGCUAGAAAUUCAUUAAAAUUAGUUAAAAUACACAAUUAAUGCAUUAAAACAUUUUAAAAAUAAAGUUGUAAUAUUUCAGGUUCAUUGUUAUUAGAGCAAAAUUAAACUAUUAAAAUUUUCAACUGUUCUGUAAUCAUUGUUAUAACCUCAUCAUUGUAAUGUGAUAUAUUUCUAAUCAAAAACUGCAGAAAAUUUAUUUUAUCAGUUUAUCAGUUAGUUUAUAAAAAAAAAAAAAAAAAAGUUCAAAUUUAGUUUAUUUACGAGAUUUCUGACUUUUCUCAGUGGUGCAGACCCUGGUGAAACUUGAGCAGAGCUAUUGAAGCACUACAUUUUUGUUCUGAAGACAGAACUCUGACAUGUUUUUAAUCAGGAAUGGUGUAGAUACUGAGCUGUGUGUGACAGCUGAGCGUUUGAACACCAAACGAAGAUCAAACCACCUCCAUUCUCCAUUUGGGUUUUCUUGUAUCUGUUUUAUUUGGGAUCCUUUUGGCGUCUUAUAUUAGAUUGUGUAGAAGAGUUUUGGUAGUAGUUCAGUGUCUCAUUUUGUUGCAUCAGAUAUCUUUAUCCUCAAGUAUCUCAUAGUUGCUGUGUCUGUACAUUUAGUUUGUACAGUUACCAUCUGGUUUGCACUAGUGUUGUCUCAUUGACGUUGUCUUUUUUGUAUUUUUGUGUUGAUUUCAUCUUAAUGCCACUUUUUCCUUGUUUCUUUCUAUUUUUUGCUGGUUUUCUAGGAUCUAUUUUUAUGGGGUAAACCUCCUUAUGUGUGACAUUCAGACCUUCAGAAGGUGACAUAUGUCUGUAAUCCAUCCCUACCUGUGAGGGUGGUGACUCAUUUUCCUAAAAGACCAAUUCUGAUUACACUUUGUUUACAAGUUAAUAAAAAAAAAAGUAAGCAAUAUACCAAGUGUUGCCGCUGGUGCAAAGACUCCUCACCAGACACAGUUAAUGUUUUCAUGGGAUCUUUAUUUACCGAGUACCCAACAGAAAUGCAGGAAAAA